UGCAACUCNCCUGCAUGAAGUUGGAAUUGCUAGUAAUCGCGAAUCAGAAUGUCGCGGUGAAUAACGUUCCCGGGCCUUGUACACACCGCCCGUCACACCAUGAGAGUCGAUAACACCCGAAGCCGGUGGCCCAAUCUGUAAAGAAGGGAGCCGUCGAAGGCAGGCCGGAUGACUGGGGUGAAGUCGUAACAAGGUAAC
rnacentral:rRNA from 1 species